GGACGCGUGUUUCUUUGCAUGUCGCUACUGUGUUCUUUUAUUCGUGUGGAUCUGGGACACACAUUAUACAGCUUGUUAAUGUAUGUGUACAAAUCUAAAGACAAGAGACACAAAACCAAGAAAUCGAAAAAUGUCCCAUUUUCAGGUACAUUGCAGUCCUGGAGAAUAUCAUUAAGAGGUAAACCUAAUCAGCGGUCCUCUGCACUGUCAGUGGGUGUCUGAACGGGGUGUGUCUUGAGCCACCCACUGUCCCAGUCCCAACAUGUCAGUGUGAUGAAGGAUUUGAAAAGACCUACCAAGAUCUCAACGUGUGUGUCGAUAGGGAUGAAUGCAGUCUAGGUUUUGGGACAAUCUGUGGUCCGGGAAGGUGUGUGAACACACCAGGGCUCUUCAUGUGUGAGUGCACCCCUCCAUUUGUUCCUGCCUACAAUGCAACAUGGUGUGCACCUGCACCUCGACCCCCUCAGAAUAAAAGGAACCCCUAUCAGGUCUUGUUAAGAUACGGCGCUGUGAAUAUACUGGUUAACAAGUAGUCGUCGAACAAAGAGCCAUGAGAUAACUGUUUCAUACAACACAAGUACAAGAUGUCAAAUCAACUACGUGCUCUGAUUACGAACACAGUGCAUACUUUUCUGAGAAGUAUUCAGUUCAACAAACAACAAAUAAACAGAUUUGAAGGACAAAUAAUUUUAUUUACUUGAGGUAUUUAUUCACACCUGUUGUUUGGGGCACGGAAUGUACACUGUGGUGAAUCUUGAACAAUGAUGCAGCUAUUUGGCUAUCGAUAACAUGUACACUGUACGUGUCCGAACAUGCUACUUGUCUUAGACGAACGAGGAAGUUAUCAGUUACCAACAAAACCACAGGAUGAGUUUGGGAAUGUCGUUCCAUGUCGCCGAGAUUCGUUUCUACACAAACCAAUGUUCAGCCAUGUAACUAACGUCCAGUGAGGAUAAAGAAUGCGUAUUCGUGAAAUUAAUAACCACAGUUACUUUAUAUUCAACUAGAUGCCAACCGCUUUUAAACGAUUGUAUUUCGUUCAUUGAAGGGAUUGGGAACAUAAUACGUUUGUGUCAUCCAGAACUUGGUACCUCUACAUUCGCAUUGAAAGCGACAGCGUUAGUACCUUAGCAAGAGUAGAUUUAUUGCAAAGAUCCAAAGAGGAGAUGGGUCAGGUGACAUUGGUUGUGUUUGGUUGUUGUUGUUAUAAGUGGGUUGAUGUACCGAUUGUUAUCGUAUGAACUGUCAAACAAGGAGUUGUCAUCAAUAAAUAAACUUUAUUUUGCAUCAAAUUUGAUAGGUAGAGAUACUCAGCAACAUUAAGUGCGGCUCAAUCUUACAGAAAAUGAAGCGACCCUUGCACGGAUAAGGUUUAAAGUGCACACGACGAGCAUGACGUCACAACGCUUUACAGGCUGGCAUUUGC